rnacentral:tRNA from 1 species
GCGGGAUUGGUACAGUGGUAGCACAUCAGCUUCCCAAGCUGAAGACACGGAUUCGAUUUCCGUAUCCCGCU